rnacentral:rRNA from 1 species
CAGUAGCCACGGUAAUACGAAGGGUGCAAGCGUUGUCCGGAAUUAUUGGGCGUAAAGGGCUCGCAGGCGGUUUCUUAAGUCUGAUGUGAAAGCCCCCGGCUCAACCGGGGAGGGUCAUUGGAAACUGGGAAACUUGAGUGCAGAAGAGGAGAGUGGAAUUCCACGUGUAGCGGUGAAAUGCGUAGAGAUGUGGAGGAACACCGGUGGCGAAGGCGACUCUCUGGUCUGUAACUGACGCUGAGGAGCGAAAGCGUGGGGAGCGAACAGGAUUAGAUACCCCCGUAGUCCCUGUCUCUUAUAC